rnacentral:rRNA from 1 species
GACGAACGCUGGCGGCGUACCUAAUACAUGCAAGUAGAACGCUGAAGGAGGAGCUUGCUUCUCUGGAUGAGUUGCGAACGGGUGAGUAACGCGUAGGUAACCUGCCUGGUAGCGGGGGAUAACUAUUGGAAACGAUAGCUAAUACCGCAUAAGAGUAGAUGUCGCAUGACAUUUGCUUAAAAGGUGCAAUUGCAUCACUACCAGAUGGACCUGCGUUGUAUUAGCUAGUUGGUGAGGUAACGGCUCACCAAGGCAACGAUACAUAGCCGACCUGAGAGGGUGAUCGGCCACACUGGGACUGAGACACGGCCCAGACUCCUACGGGAGGCAGCAGUAGGGAAUCUUCGGCAAUGGACGGAAGUCUGACCGAGCAACGCCGCGUGAGUGAAGAAGGUUUUCGGAUCGUAAAGCUCUGUUGUAAGAGAAGAACGAGUGUGAGAGUGGAAAGUUCACACUGUGACGGUAUCUGACCAGAAAGGGACGGCUAACUACGUG